GGGCGGGUAGAUCAGCUCGGUAGAUCGCUUCGUUCGCAACGAAGAGGCCGCGGGUUCAAAUCCCGCUCCGUCCA
rnacentral:tRNA from 1 species